AAAGAAAUGAAUGAGGUGGAAGGAGACUCCUCUCUUGCUUACUGUGCAGCAGUACUGUCCUCAACAGAGGCACACAGACACUUUCCAUUGACUUCCAAGGGCUUGCAACACGGCCCAGAAGACAACCUGUAGGUGCACGUUUCUAAGGAGGUGCGAUGACUGGGAUUUGCAUCCAAACAGGAACCCUGCAGAUUUCUUCAAAUCCUGGCGACAAAGAUACAAUGGCAACCAGAAACAUUAUGCUCACAAUACUGAAGAAUGCAAAUGCAUUAGCUCAUGACCUCUGAG